UACGUAGGGUCCGAGCGUUGUCCGGAAUUACUGGGCGUAAAGAGCUCGUAGGUGGUUUGUCGCGUUGUUCGUGAAAACUCACAGCUCAACUGUGGGCGUGCGGGCGAUACGGGCAGACUAGAGUACUGCAGGGGAGACUGGAAUUCCUGGUGUAGCGGUGGAAUGCGCAGAUAUCAGGAGGAACACCGGUGGCGAAGGCGGGUCUCUGGGCAGUAACUGACGCUGAGGAGCGAAAGCCAGGGGAGCGAACGGG
rnacentral:rRNA from 1 species